AGGACGAACGCUGGCGGCGUGCUUAACACAUGCAAGUCGAGCGGUAAGGCUCCUUCGGGAGUACACGAGCGGCGAACGGGUGAGUAACACGUGAGCAAUCUGCCCCUUCACACUGGGAUACCCCCCCGGAAACGGGUGCUAAUACCGGAUACAACCACUUCAGGCAUCUGACGGUGGUGGAAAGUUCUGGCGGUGAAGGAUGAGCUCGCGGCCUAUCAGCUUGUUGGUGAGGUAAUGGCCUACCAAGGCGACGACGGGUA
rnacentral:rRNA from 1 species